GAUGAAGAACGCAGCGAAAUGCGAUAAGUAGUGUGAAUUGCAGAAUUCAGUGAAUCAUCAAAUCUUAGAACGCACAUUGCGCCCCUUGGUAUUCCAUGGGGCAUGCCUGUUCGAGCGUCAUUUGUACCUUCAAGCUCUGCUUGGUGUUGGGUGUUUGUCUCGCCUCUGCGUGUAGACUCGCCUCAAAACAAUUGGCAGCCGGCGUAUUGAUUUCGGAGCGCAGUACAUCUCGCGCUUUGCACUCAUAACGACGACGUCCAUAAGUACAUUUUUACACUCUUGACCUCGGAUCAGGUAGGGAUACCCGCUGAACUUAAGCAUAUCAAUAAGCGGAGGA
rnacentral:misc_RNA from 1 species